rnacentral:lncRNA from 1 species
UUUGCCCUUUGGUCAACUAAGGAAUGCUCUUAAAGCUUAAGCAAGAAAAAAAGAAUGUUCAAAAAGUAGCUUUGGUUGAAAUUAAGGAAUGAAAAUGCAUGGCCAAUCUUUUGGUGCAAUAAAUAAUAGCUUAACGAUCUAGAAAGUUUAUUCUGAAUUGGACUUCUGCAGGGACAAAUAACUUGCAGACUUGAACUGGUAUUGAAUUUCAAGGGUCCACAAAUAAAAUAAUAGACUUUUUUAAAUCAAAACAAGUAAAACUUUAGUUUUUUUUUUUAAAGUAUUAGCGGGGUUCAUUUCCUACCUUUUCUAACCCAUACCGCUAUGCAGGCUGACUCCAACCAGAGUCGAAAUCCAUCCCUCUUAUGCAAGUAGUAAGAGAUGAUAUAAUUAGAGUAAGCAAAUUCUUAAAAUUAGACUGAGCUACCCUUUAACCUGCCCUCACCAACGUUUGCAAAAAAUUGAAUGAUUUAAUAAAGCCUUGAACCAGUUCUCAAAGAAAAAAAUAAAAAAGCAAGAAAAAAACCUUAAACUAAAAGCCCAUUUUGUAUAGCUUUUGUUUUUAAGAAAAAUCUACAAAGAAAAAUGAACUAAAACCGAACGGUAUGUGUGAACAUGUUGCUUUUUAAAUUGUUUGUAAAUUUUUUUUUGUGUUUUUGGUAGCAAAGAUUACUUGCUUGUUUUUCUUUUUUAUGGUAGAAAAGGUUCGUAAGCAAUGAGUUACAAAAUUAGUAACCUCCCUUGAAUACCUCUAACUCUCCCAAACUUGAUGAGCUGAGGUUUGGAUGUCAAGAAGAGUGAAAAUAAUAUGGAAUAUCAUAAAUUUUGUGAAAAUAAAAGUAUGCAAUAGCAUAAAUUUUGUGCAAAUGUUAGAUUCAUCAAUAAAUAUGUGGCAUUCCACUAUUUUGUAAGCGCUAAAAGACAAAAAUAACAAUGGUACUAACAUGCUCUAGAUUUUGUGCUUGGAUUUUAAACCUACUUUGAGUCCUCUCAGGCUGAGCCUUGUUACUAGAUUUCUAUACCUCAAUUACUAAAAGAACAAUUUCAGAUGUUACCCAAAAUGGAAUUGUUUGUAGUCUACAAGCAAGCAUUCUUUUUCAUACCUAGGAAACAUAAUGAAGGAAAGUUAAGAGAUACUAUAGUUAAGCUUAGUUAAAGCAUGCUUUU